rfam:Spizellomyces punctatus DAOM BR117 chromosome Tnknown supercont1.7, whole genome shotgun sequence.
GCACCUUUGUCGGAAGCGGUGAAGAAGUUGGUCUAAAAGUCCAAUUUCCAAAGCCGCGUGAGUUCGAAUCUCACAGGGUGCU